AUAAGGUUUGUCCAUGUGCUGCCAGAGAAAGCAGGACUUGGCUUCACGCUUGGGUUGUGGUGGUACAAAGGACCAUGCUCCACUGUUCUCUCAUUAAUACUUUCCAUGUUCAUGUCUUUUUGCAGUUUGUAGAGAAAUCUUGUAAUAGAUGUUUCUAUACAAAGUCCCUGGGGUUUUUUAUUUGUGCUUUUUUUCACAGGAUCUUUCCCAACAUCCAGCAAAAGCAGAAGAAAAUUUUUUAGAAUAUUUGGACUGGAGCUUUGUGAGAAAACUAAGGAUUUUUUUAUCCCCCUUUCUUUUGGUUCAUCAAAGGACACCCAUCAGCCUUGUGCUUUAAAAUACUGUGGAUCCCAAGCAAGCAGAUUCGUUUCCCUGCCACCCCAACUCAACAGCGAGAUAAGACUCUUCUGUGUCCUCAGGACAGUUUGUGGGGGCUACCACAGAUCCUGUGGAUUCAGUGCAACAUUGCUUAUGAGUCUCAUUCUCAGAUGCCUAAUUCUCCAAGGUUCAAUUCUUCAGGUUCAAUUCUGGAGCUAGGCAUUUAAGUGAAGCAUGUAGUUAUAAUCUCUUUCUGGUUAUCCAGGAGCCACUAACUUUGGCAAUGGCAUUUUUCACUUUACUGGACUGUGAGUUUCUUGCUUGCUUGUAGUGGCUCAUAUUUUUUCACAACCACACUGGGUGAAGUAUGAAAAUGAGUGAUAAUUUGGGGAUUUUUUUUUUUUUUUGACCUGAAAAAUGCUUUCGUUAAAUGGACAGCAAGGUGACCUGAAUGACACUGAUCUGGAUGAACUCAUACAGUGAAGCUAGCAGCAUUAGUGUUGUCUCCAUUUUUCUCUGGGAUGAUGACAUUGUUACUAAGUAAUGGAAGAAACGCUUCAGGCUUUCCUCUUACUGCAACAGAUUAAACCUUUCUUCCAGAUGUAAUCACGUACAUUUUGGUGAAGUCACCGACAAAGUAGAAUUCAGUUGAGCAAGUUUGAAGAUGAUGCUCUGGUGAGACCAUUAAUUGUUAUUUCAUUGGCCUUUUCAGGAUGCUUAAAACCACCUUCACACUGAAGACCUUAAGAGGACCAUCAUGUGUAGCACAGUGUUGUGCUAAAUUUUUGACACCCGUGUGGUUAAAUCUGAAUCACAGGUCUGCUACCUACUGCCUUUUCACCCAACAUGUGUUAAAAAUAGCCACUGAAGAAGGAAAAUAGAUGUUCACUUUUAAUGACCAGUGGUCCUUCCCAAGAACUUGACCAAGAAAAGUUCCCUGCACUCUGGCGAAGGGGCACACAGACAUAUUUCUUGGAUUGAUUGUGGCUGGUGCACAGAAGGAGUCCCAAAAGAUGUAAUGCUUCACUGAUAGAGGUGUUGACUUAUCCUUCAACAACAGCUUAGAAAUUUUUGCAACUUCUCUACUUAAAUAAGUCAGUCAAGGAAGGAGCUUGCUACUGUAUAACAUAUGGAGUUGUCAGUAGUUUUUAUCUUUGAAACUGCUAUUAAUAUCUUUUGGGAAAAGGAAAGGCAGCACACACAAAGAAGGCAGCAGAGC
rnacentral:lncRNA from 1 species